CCCCAGACUCUGGAAUAACCAUGGGAAACGAUGGCUAAUACCGGAUACGAGACGUGCACGCAUGUGUGGCGUCUGGAAAGAUUUAUCGGUCUGGGAUGGGCUCGCGGCCUAUCAGCUUGUUGGUGGGGUAGUGGCCCACCAAGGCGACGACGGGUAGCCGGCCUGAGAGGGCGACCGGCCACACUGGGACUGAGAUACGGCCCAGACUCCUACGGGAGGCAGCAGUGGGGAAUAUUGCACAAUGGGCGCAAGCCUGAUGCAGCGACGCCGCGUGAGGGAUGACGGCCUUCGGGUUGUAAACCUCUUUCAGCAGGGAAGAAGCGAAAGUGACGGUACCUGCAGAAGAAGCGCCGGCUAACUACGUGCCAGCAGCC
rnacentral:rRNA from 1 species